UACAGAGGUCUCAAGCGUUGUUCGGAUUCAUUGGGCGUAAAGGGUGCGUAGGCGGCUCUGUUAGUCAGGCGUGAAAGCCCUGGGCUCAACCUGGGGACUGCGCUUGAUACGGCAGGGCUUGAGGGCAGAAGAGGCUCGCGGAAUUCCCAGUGUAGAGGUGAAAUUCGUAGAUAUUGGGAAGAACACCGGUGGCGAAGGCGGCGAGCUGGUCUGCACCUGACGCUGAGGCGCGAUAGCGUGGGGAGCAAACAGG
rnacentral:rRNA from 1 species